AUUGGACACAACUGUUUCGAUCAAAACGCACAGCUUUGCUCUCAUUCACUCUGGACUGACUGUGUGUAUUGUAUAAUCCUUAUCUCUCUCUCGUUCUCACUCUUUUUCUCUCUCCCUCUCUUACCAGACUCAUCACACCACACAACUCUCCAACUAUCCAACACCUCAAAUCUUCUCUCUCUCAAGCUCCGAAACCACAAUCCAUGGCUUCCAUCGCUGCUCCCACUCCUCAUAACCUCAUCUUCCCCAACCCCAUUUUCUCUUCACCUAUCAGAAAGCCUUUCUCUAACUACUCUUCUCCGUUAUCGUCUCAUUCCCAUUCCCACUCUCACUUUCUCUCUAGGGUUCCUGAUUCCGCCUUCUGCCGAUGCCAUAGCUCCUCCUCAUCCUCCUCUUCUUCUUCUCCCUCUCCUUCCGACUCGCACUGGAGAUGGGACUCGGCUCUCGCCGAUGUCAUCAGAACCGCCCUCAAACAAUUCGAUUCCUACUUCAAUCCGUACCGCUUAGCUGCUGAUGGUUCUUCCGGCGUUUCCGACUCUGAUGAUUCACCGAACCCGUCCCGAGACCUGGAUUGGGAUUGGGAUCGGUGGCGCCAGCAUUUUGGCGAGGUCGACGAGCAAGAGCGCUUGGUCUCCGUCUUGAAGUCUCAGCUGGGUCAAGCAGUACAUAUGGAAGAUUUUGAAGGUGCUGCGAGGCUCAAGGUGGCAAUUGCAGCAGCAGCUACAAACGACGUUGUUGGCAGAGUGAUGUAUAAGCUGAAUAGAGCUAUAGAGGAGGAAAAGUACGUGGAUGCAGCCUUUGUAAGAGAUAAUGCUGGUGCUGGAUUGGUUGGAUGGUGGGCUGGCAUGUCGAAAGACAUCAAUGAUCCUCAUGGUCUAAUCAUUCGAAUAACUGCAGAGCAUGGGAGAUAUGUGGCAAGAAGUUAUAGUCCUCGGCAACUGGCUACCACCGCAGCUGGUAAUCCCCUGUUCGAAAUUUUUUUAACAGUGAAUAGGAAGGGUGAAUACAGACAGCAGGCUGUGUAUCUAAAGCGUGGAGGUGCUUUUAAAGAUAUUUCGCUUUCCUCGAAAGUAUCAGAUUCGAUUAGUAACAUAGAUCCAUUAGAUUCACCUGAUGACAAGAGUGAUCUGCUUGUUGCUGUUAAUGAAGAUGUCGAAGAUGAAGAUGACAAUGAUAGGGAUGAUCUUUCUGAUUCAGCCCAAGGAUUUUCUGGUUUUCAGGAUAUUUUGAAAGAUAUGAUUCCUGGUGUCAAGGUGAAGGUUUUGAAAGUCACAGCGCCUGGGAAGGUUGAUAAGGAUCUAAUCUCUAAAGUUAUUGAGCAGAUAAUAGAGGAAGAUGAUGAAGAAAAGGAUGAUGAUAUGGAAAGUUUAGAAGCAGAGGAUGACUUUCAGAGUGAGAGUGAUCAAGAGAGAGAUGUGAUUGAAUUGGAGGCAAGUCCUGGAAUUACUGAAAGUGAAGAGCGGAGUGAAAUUGCAUUUAAGGUUGUCGUUGGUGGUCUUAUGCAAAAGAUGUCAAGUGGCACAUCUACAAGAGACACACUUCGGGUUCCUGCUAAGCUAGAGAAAAAUGGAAGGUCAUCAUUUUCUUUCUCUAUAGAGAAAGGCACUAACAAUCAGGAUUCGUAUGAGAAGGAACAGGCUUUGCUGCAGAAAAAAUCUAAACUUAAAGGUAGACGCAGCAUUGAUCAUGUUAUGUUUGAUCUCACUAAGUUUAUUGGUAAAGAGAAAAUACCACUGAAGGUGCUCAAGGAUGUUGGUGAGCUGAUAAGUCUCACUCUGAGUCAGGCUCAAAACCGUCAGCCACUGUCUGAAUCGACAACUUUCAACCGCAUUGAGUUACCAAAUUCUUCAGAUCCUCUAAAUGGACUGUACAUUGGUGCACAUGGGCUCUACACCUCCGAAGUUAUUCACCUGCAACGAAAAUUUGGUCAAUGGAAAGAUGAUAGUGGGAAAUCAGAUCCUUCAAAUCUUGAGUUUUAUGAAUAUGUAGAAGCUUUAAAAAUAACUGGGGAUCCUUAUGUACCAGCGGGUCAGGUUGCUUUCCGUGCAAAAAUUGGUAAAAGAUACCAACUUCCUCAUAAGGGGAUUAUUCCAGAAGAAUUUGGAGUGAUUGCUCGAUACAAAGGACAAGGAAGACUUGCUGCACCAGGAUUUCGCAAUCCUCGAUGGGUUGAUGGUGAACUUGUUAUUCUCGAUGGAAAGUACAUAAAAGGUGGGCCAGUUGUAGGAUUCGUGUAUUGGGCCCCUGAGUAUCAUUUCUUGGUGUUCUUUAAUCGGCUGAGGCUUCAAGAGUAAAUUUCUCAUUGUACAUAACAGUAAAGUCAUUGUUUUGGUUCGGUAAAGUAGGUACAUAAGACGUUUACUUCCAGAACACAAUUUCCCCAAGUUAAAGGAGUGGAGAAAUCUGGAAAUCUAGGGCUAUAUAUUUAAUUUAUGCUUGCCCAGCUGACUGGUGCACUUGGCUGACUCAACAGAGAGAGUAGUAACCACAGAAGCUUUGGAAUGUACAAAUCAUACUUGGCCUUUAAAGUUUACAUUGCUCUUUGGUUUGGGAAAAUACUUUUUUUAUCACACACUUGUAUGUUUUGGCACCACUUUUUUGUUUUUUAUGCCAUUGAAAUUAAAAAUUUACUUCAGUAGCCUAUUCUCAUAGGUUCUUACUUAGCUCUUCCAUUGUUCCAAUUGAUAAGAUCGGGAUUAGUGAAUUAGCUAAGAACUGGAUAGUUAUCUCUGUAAAUAGCCUUUCUAUAAUAUGGGUUUUAUACUUAAUAAAUAAUGUGGCCUAUGCAUCUUUUAGUUA